rnacentral:rRNA from 1 species
GACGAACGCUGGCGGCGUGCCUAAUACAUGCAAGUCGAGCGAAUUGAUGGGAGCUUGCUCCCUGAUAUUAGCGGUGGACGGGUGAGUAACACGUGGGUAACCUGCCUGUAAGAUUGGGAUAACUCCGGGAAACCGGAGCUAAUACCGGAUAACAUUUCGAACCGCAUGGUUUGAAAUUGAAAGAUGGUUUCGGCUAUCACUUACAGAUGGACCCGCGGCGCAUUAGCUAGUUGGUGAGGUAACGGCUCACCAAGGCAACGAUGCGUAGCCGACCUGAGAGGGUGAUCGGCCACACUGGGACUGAGACACGGCCCAGACUCCUACGGGAGGCAGCAGUAGGGAAUCUUCCGCAAUGGACGAAAGUCUGACGGAGCAACGCCGCGUGAACGAUGAAGGCCUUCGGGUCGUAAAGUUCUGUUGUUAGGGAAGAACAAGUACCAGAGUAACUGCUGGUACCUUGACGGUACCUAACCAGAAAGCCACGGCUAACUACGUGCCAGCAGCCGCAGUAA